rnacentral:rRNA from 1 species
GAUGAACGCUGGCGGCGUGCCUAAUACAUGCAAGUCGAGCGAACAGAUGAGGAGCUUGCUCCUCUGACGUUAGCGGCGGACGGGUGAGUAACACGUGGAUAACCUACCUAUAAGACUGGGAUAACUUCGGGAAACCGGAGCUAAUACCGGAUAAUAUUUUGAACCGCAUGGUUCAAUAGUGAAAGACGGUUUUGCUGUCACUUAUAGAUUGAUCCGCGCCGCAUUAGCUAGUUGGUAAGGUAACGGCUUACCAAGGCAACGAUGCGUAGCCUACCUGAGAGGGUGAACGGCCACACUGGAACUGAGACACGGUCCAGACUCCUACGGGAGGCAGCAGUAGGGAAUCUUCCGCAAUGGGCGAAAGCCUGACGGAGCAACGCCGCGUGAGUGAUGAAGGUCUUCGGAUCGUAAAACUCUGUUAUUAGGGAAGAACAAAUGUGUAAGUAACUAUGCACGUCUUGACGGUACCUAAUCAGAAAGCCACGGCUAACUACGUG